rnacentral:rRNA from 1 species
UACGUAGGGUGCAAGCGUUGUCCGGAAUUAUUGGGCGUAAAGAGCUCGUAGGCGGUCUGUCGCGUCGGCUGUGAAAACUCGGGGCUCAACUCCGAGCUUGCAGUCGAUACGGGCAGGCUAGAGUUCGGCAGGGGAGACUGGAAUUCCUGAUGUAGCGGUGAAAUGCGCAGAUAUCAGGAGGAACACCGGUGGCGAAGGCGGGUCUCUGGGCCGAUACUGACGCUGAGGAGCGAAAGCGUGGGGAGCGAACAGG